rnacentral:lncRNA from 1 species
CUAGCUAGGAAGUUCUUCUCCACACAUGACACACUUGCAAACAAAACGAUUUCCAGUUGCUUUUCAAUAAACUACGAAUUCUCAACGCCCCAGAUUAACUAUGAAUUGCACUAAUUAACCCUCAGAUUUUCCUAAUUUCAUUGAAUUGGAUGAUUGCAUACAACAACCCAAAACAUUCCCCACAGGUUCCCUACAUGAAUUGCAUAAUAGAGAUACAAGCAAGAAUCAUUAAGUUCUAUGAAAAUCAUAAGCAUUAACGAGACACUUGUAACUAUGAAUUGCAUGAAACUUAUGCCAAGAAUUUACUUAACACGGUUGUGACGAGCAACCUUCACUACUUGUGAAUAUAAGUUCAUAACGAUUAGGUGAAACUCUCUUAUAUCCUAGCAUCAGAUUUAGGCAUGAAAAUUAAUCGUGCACUCUCAACCAACAUACACAAAUCAGUUUUAAUUCAAAUGGAUAAGUAAAUUGAAAUCACAAUUUAUGAAUCACAACUGAAAGUAAUCAAAUCAUAUUGCAAGCAUGAACAUGGUUUCGAAUUCCCCCUACAUAAGGGGGGUUUAGUUCCUCAUACUCACAAAGCAAAGAUAAACAAAUUUAGGCAUUGAAAACAAAAGAAUGAAAACACCUAAAAACGCUUCAACAAUCCAACUUGAAUGACAAACACGUCCAAGGUCCUCCUUCUUCUCUUUGUUGCGGCACAAUGUGUGGUUUGAUGGAUGCGUAUGGAUAUAUGGAAAGGAAUGGCUGAAUGUGUUUAGGUUGGAUGGAGGUCACGGCAAGGAAAAGGAAAUGAAGGUGCAUGGAAUUGUGUUUUUGUUGUGGGAAUAUGUAGAAUGGUUAAGAAGAAAAGACUCUGCCUUGCGGCAGAAUGUGUCUUCCUCCAUUCUCCUUAAACUGUCUGUGUGAAUGUGUCUUUGGAUGGAUCU